GACGAACGCUGGCGGCGUGCUUAACACAUGCAAGUCGAGCGGUAAGGCCCUUUCGGGGGUACACGAGCGGCGAACGGGUGAGUAACACGUGGGUGACCUGCCUUUAGCUCUGGGAUAAGCCUGGGAAACUGGGUCUAAUACCGGAUAUGACUCCGCGGUGCAUGCUGUGGGGUGGAAAGCCUUGUGCGGCUGGAGAUGGGCCCGCGGCCUAUCAGCUUGUUGGUGGGGUGANGGCCUACCAAGGCGACGACGGGUAGCCGGCCUGAGAGGGCGACCGGCCACACUGGGACUGAGACACGGCCCAGACUCCUACGGGAGGCAGCAGUGGGGAAUCUUGCGCAAUGGGCGAAAGCCUGACGCAGCGACGCCGCGUGAGGGAUGACGGCCUGGUGU
rnacentral:rRNA from 1 species